ensembl:lncRNA
GCAUGGCCUCAUGGGAGAUUUUCUGCACGUUGAACGAGACAGACACACAUCCACUGCAGACUUGGUAACGUUUUCAGCACCAUCUUCACCACCGGAGAAAAAAAUCUGCAUCAACUACAAAGUAAAGCAGGUCACAGGUGAUGAGAUGGCAGUGUAAACUCUGCAAACAUGAGGAGUCAUCAAAAGUGUCACUACUCAAACAUUAUCGAGUGAAACAUGGUCUCACAGUUCGCAUGAAACGGAGGGCUUCACAGACCGGAGUUUUCCGCCUGUUCCCCCUCUAGAGCCGAGCCUCUCUUCAGUUUUCGGCACCAAAAUGACCAAGGUCGUUGGACAGCGACCGGCCCACCCGCCAAACUUGACCAGCUGAUAGCAAGGUCAGUGCAGAGUUUCAUAGGAUCACGACCCUGAACCUUGAACCAAAGUUCAUGUCAUCAUUGGACUUGUAUUCAUCCAAACUCCUGUCCUUGUUUCAAGCCAAGAAAGGUGCUGCUGGACAACGCCACAGGGCACAGUUAAACCUUCUGCUUCAGAGUGGAAAUUCCAUCGAGAAAAAACGAGAAGUCAUCAUCAGAUGUCUCAUUGACCAUCUGGGAGAGGAUCCAAGUGCCUUAAUCAAAACCUUUGAGGACGGUGCUGAUGCUGUCUUUGUUGAAGAGGCUUUGGCUGAGGAGGUGAUGAAGAUUUACCUGCUGUAGAAUCAAGACAGGUCAGGCGAACCUACUGAUGUGUGGGUAUUGUUAUUGAAGGCGUUACUGUUCUGGGCAAACUUGGGAAUCUGAGCAAAGCCUGUUGCUAUCUUUUGGGACUGUGCUAUGCUCUGGAUCUGAAACACCCCAAGAAUCUCAAAUGCACAUUUGAAGCAUUUCAAAAAGUGUUCAUGGAGCUGGAUCCAGGAAACCUUUCUGUCAAGGUUCAAAGACUGAAAAAUGACCUCUGUUCAUUGUAGACAAAAUUUCACAGGGCUGUUCUUAAAGUGUUAGACUUGUUAAGUGACAUGUAAUGCUCAUCAAAAGGUUCAGUUCUUGGCAUUACAUUGUGUUGACAUUCCUGUUCAUAAAUAAUGUUUGUACCAUAAACUGUGUUUUUGUAUUAACUUUCCAGAUUCACAUUAAGGUGUAAAUGGGAGAGUAUCUUCUGUAUGUUUUUUUUUUUUUUUUUUCUUAGCGCAAUCCUUUUUGAAACCUUUUUAUUUAAAUUAUGGAUGUUUUUUGGUCACUCUUUAGUUAUAAUCUGCCCAAUUUUUUGGAAUCAAAAUAAGAUGUUCAAAAACUAUGUCACAGUGCAAAUGUUUUUUUCUUUUCAGGAUUUAUAUUUUUUUGGGAUCUUAAUUUUAUUUUUGUCAUUUGACCUUUUCUGAAAAGGUAAAGCACUGCGUUCACUUGAGCCACUUUUAUUCUUUGUAUGGCAGGUACAUUUUUCUUGUUGUUAGCAUCAAUAUGCCAGUUUUACAGAGUUUUAUCAAGCAUGCCAAUUUGCAUGCAAUUUUAUUAUAUAAGGCUGUUGUGACUGAAAUUUUAUCCAAGUUUUAUCCACUGAAUGUAGAACAGAUUUCAGCUCACUGUGUUCAGAGAAGGAAUCUGCUAAAUGUGUGAUUCACAAAAAAGCUGGUUAAAAUAAAUCAUUGUGAACAAUGUUGAACUGACGUGGUUCUUUUUUUCCUGUGUGUGUGUGUGUGUGUG